UACAGAGGUCUCAAGCGUUGUCCGGAAUCAUUGGGCGUAAAGAGCGUGUAGGCGGCCUGUUAAGUCUUGCGUGAAAUCUCGGGGGCUCAACCCCGAGCGGUCGUGAGAAACUGGCAGGCUAGAGUGCGGGAGAGGAGAGUGGAAUUCCUGGUGUAGCGGUGAAAUGCGCAGAUAUCAGGAAGAACACCCCGUGGCGGAAGGCGGCUCUCUGGAACGCAACUGACGCUGAGACG
rnacentral:rRNA from 1 species